rnacentral:miRNA from 1 species
CAGGUGUCAUCUCCCCUGAAC